CGGCGGCUGCUUACCAUGCAAGUCGAGCGGUAACAGAGAGUAGCUUGCUACUUUGCUGACGAGCGGCGGACGGGUGAGUAAUGCUUGGGAAUAUGCCUUAUGGUGGGGGACAACAGUUGGAAACGACUGCUAAUACCGCAUAACGUCUACGGACCAAAGGGGGGGAUCUUCGGACCUCUCGCCAUUUGAUUAGCCCAAGUGAGAUUAGCUAGUUGGUAAGGUAAAGGCUUACCAAGGCGACGAUCUCUAGCUGGUUUGAGAGGAUGAUCAGCCACACUGGGACUGAGACACGGCCCAGACUCCUACGGGAGGCAGCAGUGGGGAAUAUUGCACAAUGGGCGAAAGCCUGAUGCAGCCAUGCCGCGUGUGUGAAGAAGGCCUUCGGGUUGUAAAGCACUUUCAGUUGUGAGGAAAGGGGUGUAGUUAAUAGCUGCAUCCUGUGACGUUAGCAACAGAAGAAGCACCGGCUAACUUCGUGCCAGCAGCCGCGGUAAC
rnacentral:rRNA from 1 species